UCCUUAAUCCGUGAAUCAAAAACCUUGAAUCCUUAAUCCGUGAAUCAAAAACCUAUCUGAAAUCGAAAAAAAAGCCUCCAAAUGAAACAUUCAUAACCUUAAAAAUUUGAUAUUUUCCCUGAAAUAAAAAAAAAAACCCUUGUUCUGUGAUAAUGAUUGUUCUUCGAUCUACUAGAUAAGCAGAUGAAGCGACCUGUUGAGUAUGCGUGGAAGCAUAUUAGUGAGUUUGUUUUGCAAUGUUGGUUAGCAAACUGUUGCCUAUCUACAAUUCCACCAAGGAAAAAAAAGAAAGACUAAGAAAAGCAGCAGAAGAAUGGAGAAGACUUUAAUACAUUAUUUUGUUUGUGUUUGGAUGGGAAACCAUUCAACAAAGUGGAAAGUCUUGGAGCAAGUUGAUGAAGAGAUAAUGAAAAUAGAUGUAAGAGCAGCAUUAAGUCUCGUGAAGUAGUUAGUGGAAAACCCGGUGCUCUUUGUUGCUUUGGCACAACAAGGCAGAUACUCCCAAAGCUCCACACUUUGGAUGAAUUGAAGCGGAAUGACUUGAUCCUUUAGCAAUUCUUUUACCUGUGGAUGGGACUUUGAGUUCAUUUGGAAGGUAACUUCAACUUGCUGUUUUUAGAUCAAAGAUCCCACUGGUAGAAUACAAUUCACAAAACACGCCAUGUAAUAUGCAUCAUAUCAAUUGGAACCUUCUAUGGAAGCAGACACCAAUAUAUUUCAUUAGAACUAUAUUAUUUUGUCGCAAAUCUUUCUUUCAACGAUUGGGAGUGACAAAUUGUCUCUAUUUAAAUGA